AGGACGAACGCUGGUGGCGUGCUUAACACAUGCAAGUCGAACGGUGAAGCCCAGCUUGCUGGGUGGAUCAGUGGCGAACGGGUGAGUAACACGUGAGCAACCUGCCCCCUACUUCGGGAUAAGCCUUGGAAACGAGGUCUAAUACCGGAUAUGAGCACUUACCGCAUGGUGGGUGUUGGAAAGUUUUUUCGGUGGGGGAUGGGCUCGGCGGCCUAUCAGCUUGUUGGUGGGGUAAUGGCCUACCAAGGCGUCGACGGGUA
rnacentral:rRNA from 1 species